CAAAAGGCGCGCUUCAAACCCCAAAACAAACGCUGGCUGUCACACACCCAGGCUCGCAGUGAGGGCCUCGCCGCUGGCGUCCAACCGUGUUUCGCGGUGGAAACCAAACACUGGCCUGUUUGGACUGGAUGUGAUCCUUGUUUCCGGGCGGAACGCUGCCAGAGGCGGAUUGAUGGCUCUCACCCAGAGGAGGACGUUUACAGGAAUAUCCUCCCGGCUGGAAUUCGCUUUUCGUUUUUUUUUUUUUAAAUUGGACUCCGAACACACGGUCGCAGUCAUGGCUGCGCGGCGGCAAAGUGUUCCCCGAGUGAUAAUGAAGGGAGUGCUGCUGUGCACAUCGCCGCGCACACAAACACGCGGUUGUAGUGUACUUGAGGGGCCGUCGCUGACAUGAUGCAUGGUGGGUACGGCCUUAACCUUAACCCGGAAUCCAACCUUGACCUGAACCCAGUCAUAAAUAACACUUCUGGUUCAUCACAACUUGGGCCUCGUUUGAUAGUUUUGGCCCACGAUGACGUGACGUACACCAAGUAACGGCUUGAGAUUGAGCAGACAGGCUGUAAAAUACAGUUAAUUGAACUGGAUGUUAAUUGUUCCAUCCAACUGCUUUCUGUCAAAUUCUCUGAAUUCCCAGAUAUCGGUAAAAAAAAAAAGAAAUGAGGCCAUUUCUGAGAAUAAAUGCUGGCUUAAAGGUACGUGCACACUCACAAGGAUGUACAGUGCGCAUAGACAUGCACACAUAUACGAUUUACAGUAGACUUUUUGUUGCGGCCUGCUAGUAAUCACACACACACACACACACACACACUAGUUGAAUCCAUAUGAAUGAAAAGGCUUCCUUGCCACAUUCCUUCCUCAGCAGCAGACGGACUUACCAGUUGCUUCCGCGGCGGAUCGAUGGAAGCAAAAUAGGACAAAAAUAGAGUUUAAAGUAUCUCAGGAAAGGAUCGAGUAGGGCGAGUGAAAGCGAGAAGGUCGGGUAGGAUGUGGAGAGGAGAAAAGGACAGAAUAAGGUUAAACGUGUGUGUACACAGAUACUCACACAGGCAGAAUUAAGUGUGGAAAUAUAUCCAUAUAUAUCCACACUUUUGAUUUAUUAACACUUAUUCAAUGUAUUUUUUGUUGAUUAGUAGUAUAAUCUCUGGCUUUGCGACAUAGAUGAAUCUCUACUACAGAGAGAAAGGGAGGAGAAGAGUAUAGAAGAAGGAGUGAAGAAGACACACCGAGACAGCCGGCGUGGAGAGGGAGGAAGAGAGAGAGACAGGGAGUGGUGACAGUGAUAGAGAGCCAAAAGACUCCUGGGACAGCAGCAGAGGCGAGUCCAUCGAUCCGGGACAGUGAGCCGGCUCACAUUUCACCUCCUCAGCAGUAACACCGGCGCUUUGCCAUGGAACUAAGCCCUACAUCCCGUCUGGACAGGGUCACCUUAAAUCUAUACGUCUGUGUGUGUGUGUGUGUGUGUGUGUGUGUGUGUGUGUGUGUGUGUGUGUGUGUGUGUGUGUGUGUGUGUGUGUGUGAGAGAGAGACUGAUGCAGGAAAACAGAUCUGAAAAAAGACAUCUGUUAUAAUUAGUCUAAGAAAAAAUGCAGUGAUAUUUUUCUUACCAAAAGAGAUGCUUCAAUCAAUUAGUUUGAAAUCUUUUAAAGGGAAUAAACCCAAAAAACAGCAAAUAUCAAAACACUACAAUAAAUGAGGGCGUCCAAGCCAAGGAGACCUGGUUUGUGCUCCGCCACACGGCAUCUAAAGACUGGAUUGCUCAAUAAGUCACAUGCCGCCCUCAUCAGGGGGAACCGAUAGCCUGAAUGAAUCGCAUCCAUCCGUUAGUGGUGGGACGUUAGAGGGGCCUGGGCCCGGCCCCUCAGAGCCAUCCACUGUCAUCCGAGAGGGGGGCCGAGCCAUGUGACAGACGACCGAGCAUGUGGCAUCUCUCUGACCUCUGACAUUCCCCCCCCCCCCUCUCCUUCCCCCUGCCGCGGCUAACGGACGGCAAACAGAACCUUCGGCGAAACACAGGGUUCGCUGCGGCUCUUUUGUGCUCAAUCACACCAGUAAAGGUCGAGGAGGGGGGGUCAGAUCUCAAACAGGCGACCUUUAACCUCAUCGGGCCGGAGGUUGCGGCGUUCGGGCCGUGUGUGUGGAAGCAUUGAUAAAAUUGAGACUCCUUUCAAGGAGGAGAUGUGUGUGUGGAAGCGGACCACAGGAUGAAGACGAGACAUAUGUUUUACCUAUUUCUUUGUGCUAUCCUGCUAGCAAACACUCCUCUGACAGUUCUUACGCAUUAAACACAAACGUAAUAACGUGGACGUCCCACCGGAGCUCUUUUUGCUUUCAGCCCUAGUCUGGUCCAGUGACUCCAGGGUCUGUUUUCCAGGCUUGAUAUUUUACUUUAUUCAACAACCACAUGGUUAUUUUGGCUCUCUGCCAUCAACAACGGUGCAGUUAGUUUCGGGUUUUUUUUUUUCUGCAUUGAGCCGCUAAGAGGCUCUCACUGCGACCUUUGCUACGAAAAACUAUUUUCUCAGGUUUCUGCCGGGUUGAGACUUUUCAAGACAUUUUUAUUUCCAUGGAAUGCAAUUUUUGUCAUGGUCAUAACGUCCAAAGCAUGGGAGAUGUCAAAGAAAACCAGUCAGAAUGAUGAAGCUGAAUGGAUGUGAGGAAUUACUGACGUUUAUAACAUACAGUUCAGUUCUUCUAGUUAAUCAUUUAAUCAUUGAAUCAUGCAACACGACCUGUACCUGCAAACAGAACAAAAUGCAUUCAAAUGGCUGGAUAGAUUAACCAAUUUUUUCCGUCAUUUUUCGAUAAGAAAAUCACACUUGAAUUUAUAUGUGAAUACACAUUAACAUUAAUGUCAGCAGCAGCAGCUUGCGGACACCAAAGUCAGCACUUUUCAAGACAUGCAGAAAUCUUAUUUUUUACAUGUUUAAGAGAGAUUUGAUUAGAAAUGAUAUUUCGAAUACGGUUUUAAUUGAGAUCUAAC
ensembl:lncRNA